rnacentral:lncRNA from 1 species
AAUUGGAAAGUAAUUCAUCACAGAAAUCAGUUCUAGUGAUUGCUACACCAAUUAGUGAAGAAGCUAAUGAUGAUGAUCAUGAAACUUCAGAUCAAGUUACUACCGAACCUCGUAGGUCAACCAGAGUAUGGUCCGCACCAGAGUGGUACAGUAAUCCUAUUCUGGAAGUCAUGUUACUAGACCAUGAUGAACCUACGAACUAUGAGGAAGCGAUGAUGAGCCCAGAUUCCGCGAAAUGGCUUGAGGCCAUAAAAUCUGAGAUGGGAUCCAUGUAUGAGAACAAAGUGUGGACUUUGGUGGACUUGCCCGAUGAUCAGCAAGCCAUAGAAAAUAAAUGGAUCUUCAAGAAGAAGACUGACACUGACGGUAAUGUUACUGUCUACAAAGCUCGACUUGUUGCGAAAGGUUUUCAACAAGUUCAAGGAGUUGACUACGAUGAGACCUUCUCACCCAUAGCGAUGCUUAAGUCUGUCCGAAUCAUGUUAGCAAUUGCCGCGUUUUAUGAUUAUGAAAUUUGGCAAAUGGAUGUCAAAAUUGCAUUUCUUAAUGGAUUUCUUAAAGAAGAGUUGUAUAUGAUGCAACCAGAAGGUUUUUCAAUCCGAAAGGUGCUAACAAAGUGUGCAAGCUCCAGCGAUCCAUUUAUGGACUGGUGCAAGCUUCUCGGAGUUGGAAUAUACGCUUUGAUAAUGUGAUCAAAGCAUAUGGUUUUGUACAGACUUUUGGAGAAGCCUGUAUUUACAAGAAAGUGAAUGGGAGCUCUGUAGCAUUUCUAAUAUUAUAUGUGGAUGACAUAUUGUUGAUUGGAAAUAAUAGAGAAUUUCUGGAUAGCAUAAAAGGAUACUUGAAUAAGAAUUUUUCAAUGAAAGACCUCGGCGAAGCUGCUUAUAUAUUGGGCAUCGAGAUCUAUAAGGAUAGAUCAAGACGCUUAAUUGGACUUUCACAAAGCACAUACCUUGAUAACGUUUUGAAGAAGUUCAAAAUGGAUCAGUCAAAGAAAGGGUUCUUACCUGUGUUACAAGGUGUGAAGUUGAGUCAGACUCAAUGCCCGACCACUGCAGAAGAUAGAAAGAAAAUGAAAGUCAUUCCCUAUGUCUCAGCCAUAGGUUCUAUCAUGUAUGCAAUGCUGUGUACCAGACCUGAUGUGUGCCUUGUUAUGAGUUUAGUAGGGAAGUACCAGAGUAAUCCAUGAGUGGAUCACUGGACAACGUUUAAGAACAUCCUGAAAUACCUGAAAAGGACUAAGGAUAUGUUUCUCGUUUAUGGAGGUGACAAACAACUUGUCGUAAAUGGUUACGUUGAUGCAAGCUUUGACACUGAUCCGGAUGACUCUAAGUCGCAAACCAGAUACAUAUUUAUAUUGAAUGGUGGAGUUGUCAGUUGGUGCAGUUCCAAGCAGAGCGUCGUGGUAGGAUCUACGUGUGAAGCGGUGUACAUAGCUGCUUCAGAAGCAGCAAAUGAAGGAGUCUGGAUGAAGGAGUUCAUAUCCGAUCUAGGUGCAAUACCUAGUGCAUCGGGUCCAAUGAAAAUCUUUUGUGACAAUACUAGAGCAAUUGCCUUGGCAAAGGAAUCCAGAUUUCACAAGAGAACCAAACACAUCAAGAGACGCUUCAAUUCCAUCCGCGAUCAAGUCAAGGAGGGAGACAUAGAGAUUUGUAAGAUACAUACGGAUCUGAAUGUUACAGACCAGUUGACUAAGCCUCUUCCACGAGCAAAACAUGAUCAGCAUCAAGACUCCAUGGGUGUUAGAAUCAUUACUAUGUAAUCUAGAUUAUUGACUCUAGUGCAAGUGGGAGACUAAAGGAAAUAUGCCCUAGAGGCAAUAGUAAAUUUAUUAUUUAUAUUUCCUUAUAUCAUGAUAAAUGUUUAUUAUUCAUGCUAGAAUUGUAUUAACCGGAAACUUAGUACAUGUGUGAAUACAUAGACAAAACAAAGUGUCCCUAGUAUGCCUCUACUUGACUAGCUCGUUAAUCAAAGAUGGUUAUGUUUUCUGACUAUAGACAUGUGUCGUCAUUUGAUGAAUGGGAUCACAUCAUUAGAGAAUGAUGUGAUGGACAAGACACAUCCGUUAGCUUAGCAUAAUGAUCGUUAAGUUUUAUUGCUAUUGCUUUCUUCAUGACUUAUACAUGUUCCUCUGACUAUGAGAUUAUGCAACUCCCAAAUACCAGAGGAACACCUUGUGUGUUAUCAAACGUCAUAACAUAACUGAGUGAUUAUAAAGAUGCUCUACAGGUGUCUCCGAAGGUGUUUGUUGGGUUGGCAUAUAUCGAGAUUAUGAUUUGUCACUCCGUGUAUCGGAGAGGUAUCUCUGGGCCUCUCGGUAAUACUCAUCACUAUAAGCCUUGCAAGCAAUGUGACUAAUGAGUUAGCGGGAUGAUGCAUUACAGAACGAGUAAAGAGACUUGCCGGUAACGAGAUUGAACUAGGUAUGAAGAUACCACGAUCAAAUCUCGGGCAAGUAACAUACCGAUGACAAAGGGAACAACAUAUGUUGUGGUGCGGUUUGACCGAUUAAGAUCUUCGUAGAAUAUGUAGGAGCCAAUAUGAGCAUUCAGGUUCCGCUAUUGGUUAUUGAUCAGAGAUGUGUCUCGAUCAUGUCUACAUAGUUUUCGAACCCAUAGGGUUCGCAUGCUUAACGUUCGAUGACAAUUUGUAUUAUGAGUUAUGUGUUUUGGUGAUCGAAGUUUGUUCGGAGUCCCAGAUGAGAUCAUAGACAUGACGAGGAGUCUCAAAAUGGUCGAGAGGUAAAGAUUCAUAUAUUGGAAGGUUAUAUUCGUACAUCGGAAUGGUUCCGAGUGAUUCGGGUAUUUUUCUGAAAUAUUGAGGGGUUACCGAAAGCCCCCGGGGAAGUUUUGGGCCAACAUGGGCCUAAGGGAGAGAGAGGGAAGCCCGCAGGGGGUGGCCGCGCGCCCCCCUCCUAGGGAGUCCGAAUAGGACAAGGAGGAGGGGGCGACACCCCCCUUCGCUUUCCCUCUCCUUCCUAUUCCCUCCGGUGGAGAAAGGAAAAGGGGGGGGGGUUGAAUCCUACUUGGACUAGGAGUCCAAGUAGGACUCCCCCCAUGGCGCGCCCCUCUUAGGCGUCGGUCUCUCCCCCCCUCCUUUAUAUACAUGGGCAGGGGGCAUCCCAAAGGCACAUCAAUUGUUCUCUUAGCCGCGUGCGGUGCCCCCCUUCACAGUUACUCCUUCGGUCAUAGCGUCGUAGUGCUUAGGCGAAGCUCUGCGCGGAUCACAUCACCAAUGUCGUCGUGCUGACGGAACUCUCCCUCGACCCUCUACCGGAUCAAGAGUUCAAGGGACGUCAUCGAGCUGAACGUGUGCUGAACACGGAGGUGCCGUACGUUUGGUACUUGGAUCGAUUGGAUCAUGAAGACGUUCGACUACAUCAACCGCGUUAAUCUAACGCUUCCGCUUUAGGUCUACGAGGGUACAUGGACACACUCUCCCUCUCUCGUUGCUAUGCAUCUCCUAGAUAGAUCUUGCGUGAACGUAAGAAUUUUUUUGAAAUUGCAUGCUACGUUCCUCAACAGGUGGACGUCUGCCUGAUGAUCCUAGACCGGUCCUCCUUGGCCUAGGCCAAUGCAAGGUCAGGGUAGACGAGCACCCAGUCCGACGCCACGAACUCGGCCGACAUUCGUUGCAUCGGUCCCGCAACGCGGCCUUGGAUGCCGCCUUCUCGGCUGCCAUCAUUGUGCGGGACAACGUGUUGCCGCCGCCACGACUGAGGUACUGCAGAGGCGUCCGCGUGUGUUCACAAGCUCCGGGGAGAACGCGUCCUCCUUCACGUCAUUGUUGUUUUGAAGCACAAAAAACACAACUGUGGUCGAGAAGGACGGUUGCAUUAUCACUUGCAGUAUGAGUUGUCCUUCGCAAAACAAGAAAUCCCGCGUAAUUGCUUAUUGCCGUCUCCCAUCUCCAAUUGAGAAUAUCUACCAAUAGUGACAUGGAAGAGCGUAGCGGUUAAUAAAAGCAGUAGAGCUGACGGGAGCAGUGUACCCAAUCUACAUAUACUCCUUCUAGGAUAAGGAAUCUAAGUGUGCAUACUCGCAUGGAGAGGUACAACAAACUUGUCGGAGGUAAAGCCGCAGAGGUGAUAUCGCCGAUUAGCUAUGUGCGGAGUGUAGGAGCAUAUCAAUGUACGAUGUAUAUUAUUUUCUUCUGUUUAUCGAUUUAUUUCGACAAACUUGAAAUCUUGGGUUUCUAAAAACCAAGUUUCCGAAAUCCAUGGGUUAAUUAGAGUGGCCAAAGAAGAUUUGAUACGGUUAAACCAUUUUCCUAGUUUAUAAAGAUUGCAUUCUGUGUAUAUCCUCUCUAUCGAAACAACGCUUUAGAGAAGAGGGUAUAAGAGGGCACUUGGAUCUUUUGGUGCCGGUAUCCGCCAGUUGCCCUCUUGCCUGAACUUAUGAAAAAAAAAAAUUUGAAAAGUUCCACAUUUAACUCUCGCUGUUUUCGCCGUGUUGCUGCUGACAUACACAACCAUUCUUUUAAUGCCGCUUUCCCGCCCUCAUUGUUACCACAAUACUCGAUGUGGGCCUCCUUCCAAUAUUUCCGACUUGCUGAGGAGGCCACCGCCUUGAACGGACCAUCUGUCGUGUCCUUAGGCUGGUUGUAAUGGGUAGUAUCAUAAGUUAGUAUCAUGUAUAUGAUACUAGUAUAUGAUACUACCUCCCUAAUGCAUAGUAUCAUAUAGUAGUAUCAUAGAUGACUUUAUUUAUUGCCAUGCAUAACACAUACUAGUGUAGCAUUUAUUAUGAUACGGUAUCAUGAUAUGAUACUCAAUCCUCUCUUAUUUCAUUUAAUUCUAUGCCACCUCAUUAAAGUUGUCUAGUUGGCAUGCAUGAUACUACCUAUGAUACUCCCAUUACAAUCAGCCUUAUCUCGCUCCCAUGGCAUCCUGCCGCACCGCCUCCCAAGAUGGACAGGAAGAGUAGAAAGAAAGGAAAAGAAAAGGAAAAUGACUGAUAGUUUCUAAUCUGGGAGUAUCCAAAAAAAUUAAUACUCCCUUCGAUCCAUAUUAAUUGUCACCGAUUUAAUACAACUUUGUUGUAUUAAAUCGGGGAAAAUUAAUAUGGAUUAGAGGGAGUAGAACUUUUAGAGACCCCUAUAAAACCAUACAGAGGCUAUUGUGCUAGAGUUACUCUAAACUACUCCUGAACUCUUAAUCGCCACGCUGCUGUGACGUUUUAACCACGAAUAUGCUGUUUCAUUCCCUGGCACCGCCCAACCAAAGGCUCCUCCCUCGCCAGGUUAGGUUAAAAGGCCGCAGAAACGAAUAGUAUAGUUUGCAGCCAACACCAUUUUCUCCAAUAAUAAGAAUGAAAUGAUACAACCCAUAGCCAAAGCGUUUCACUACAGAAUAAUUAUGUAUGCCGACUUGUUUCUGCCACAUGUGCACCAAAAUUCCUGAGCACACGACUACGAAUCAGAAGCCACAAUAAAAUGGUCACCGGCAAGUACUCAACACUCGCACAUGCGUUUCUUACAUACACAUAAGCUAGCUAACGGUUAUACGGAUGAAGCGGCCUACCAAAUGGAGGAUACUGACCUCCCUGCCCAGGAAAGCCCAUCAUCUGCGGCCCGGCACCAGGAGGAAACUGCUGAUUGCCAUAUACUGGAAACUGCGGCAUUGAUUGCAUAUGACCCUGUGGAAACGGCGGGCCUCUAUAACCUGGACCUUGCAUCAUUUGAGGACCUGGAGGUAGCUGCUGCCUUCCAUGGCCAGGGAACGACAUCGCUUGAUGGUUGGGCAUCUGUUGAUUUCCUUGACCUGAAUGCUGUGACAUUUGAGCUUGAUUUGGGCCUUGCGGGAACCCUGGGGCUCCAUAGCCUUGUAGAACUCCCUGGCUGGCGUAUUGUUGAGGUCCACCUGAAGCAGUUUGUGGGUGUGGCUGACUGGAAGGAAGGGAUGGUGCUCCUGGUGUUGCCAGAAUAGAUGUAGUCCCUGGUGCUGCUACUACAUCAGCUGCUGUGGAAGGAGCACUGCUGUAUGGUGGCGCAGUAGAGCCAGCAGCAAGCAUUGGCUGAGGGCCAAGAAUGGAAGGUUCAUGGUUAGCAGGAGCACUGUUCGCCCCAGUGUAAUCUCGACCCCGCUCAUUGUUGAUCUGAAACAAGAUAAAAACAUCACCAAGGAUUUAACAUCUGAUAUUACUAGUUCAUAUCAGGCACAAGUAGUUUUGCCUGGUGCAUCGAAAUCUUUAUUCCUCAGCACGAUGGUGCAUUUGUUAUACCAAAUUUGGACAUAACGAGGGAGUGGUGCAUUACCCUAACAUUAAGAUCGGUAUGGCGUGAAAACGCGAGGUGAAGCUUGCAAUAUCCGCCUUCAUAGAUGCUGUGUCCUUCUAAUGCUUCUCUUGCUUUAACUGCAGUUUGAAUAUCUGCAACAAAGGCGUAAAAGUUUGAGAGACAUGCUGCACGCCAAGAACUUUUUGAGUUUUGUGUACUUGCAAUUUUUUUUACCUGGAUACUGGAUUAGUGCAUGGAAGCCAGAGUUCUUCUCAAAAAUAGCAAUCUUCUGUACAAACCCAAAAGCAGAGAAGACCUGCCAAUUACAGGAACAAAUGGUUGGUGCCAUGUAUUUUACAUAUGAUGACUUCAUGGUAUUUAAUACAUUACCUCGUGAAGAGCAUCAAUUGUAACAAUAUACUGCAUAUUCUCAACUGACGCAAGCAGAACAUUGCUCUCUGCCUCCUCCUUCUUCCCAUCCUGGGCCUAACCCAACCACUACGUUAGCAUAAGAAAAAUACCAAAUCAUAUACGCACGGAGGUUAGAAGUAUUACCACUCCAGAUCCAUCAAUAGCAGAAGGUGCAAGGGGAAGGUAUGGGUUUGUAUAAUCCCUAAAGAGGAAAAGAAACCAAUAAGUGAGGAUCUUUCAACGCCAAAAUGAGAGGAAAUAGUUAAACAAUAGCUUAGUGUCAUAGGGUAAUAGAAUAUCAUGAGACAAACAAUUAUUUUUGCCCAUGUUUGUAGUGAGAAAAAAAUGGUAGGAGAAUGUGAUGAACGUUCAGGAAGCAGCAAGAUAGCAAUUCUUACCUACUCCUAUGACUCUGAAACUUGACAUUUAGAACAGAGUGUGCUGAAUAAUUUAUUCUUAAAGUGCAGGACCCAUCAAGUUCUGGAAGCAAGUAGCUGCAGCAGAAGCAUAGAUAGUUAUCCAUCAGUCUUGAAAAAUAGUACAAUAGAAAUAUAACCUGAGAACGAUACCUAGGAAUGCAUCUGCCAUCCAGAGCAGCUUUUGCAGAUGACGCGGUCUCAGCAUCAGAAAAUUGUAUCAACGCCUAUAAGACAGGGAUAAAAAACAUAAUUCCAUAUAAAACCUACCAGGACAAAGAAAAGGAAAUCAUGCUGCUUGUUCUUAAAAAGAGAAACCAUCAUGCAAGAUUUGAGGGGAUGAUCAGAUGAUGAACUGUUACUAAAUGAGUACAAGUAAAACCGUCACCUGAUAACCAGAUGCCUUUUCAAAGGUAGCAAUCUUGUGAACAUAUCCAAAAGCAGAAAAUACCUGGGUAAACAAAGUUCGGUUGUCAAUAUGACAAGUACAAUAAUAUAGUAAAACCAAUUGCAUGCAUUUAGAUAAAAUGGAAAGACAAGCAAGCUUAAGUCGGGAAAUAAGCUACAAAGGCCAACUAAUAUCUGAAUGCAGAGUGCCACAAAGACUCAAUUAUAAUAAAGCAUGAAGAAAAGCACAGAAGCAUACAAGGUAAAUUCCUCACUAACCAUGACACUCACAGGGAAGAGUUUGAAGGCAAGUUUUGAGGUCUUACUAGCAGAUCAUUUUUUUUCAAAAGGAGUCCUCUAAACCGCUAAAAAUACAAAACCAUAGAAGUUCUGCUUAUAUUAUCACCGAGUCAAUACUUUCCAUUUGUUAGCGUUUAUAACAGAUGGCCAAGAGAAGGCAGCAAGCAGCAGAUCUACAAAGCAUUGAUAUUCCAGUGCCGCUAAAAAAAGGAACUACAAGUUCAGCUGAACAAGGUCCCAACACUGAAAAACAACUUUUAGGCAUGUCUUCGCAUCAGCAAGUGAGGAACUGUUAAAACAAUUGCAAUUCUAUACAAAAUUUAAAGCUCAAUUGAACAGAAUUGAGUACAGGUAUGUCAGUCACUUGAGACUAGAAGGCAUAAAGAAUGACAGAAGCAGUUGCUAAAGCCAAACAAGCACAAAGUGUUCAACAAAGGAUGCACUGCAUGUUGAGGCCUUACCGAUUAGCUGAUGUACUUUUUAAAACUUUACUGAUCUAUAGUUAUGUAUAAGUAUAGGCUAACUGUUCAAGGUCUCCAUCAUGAUAACUGUUAUAGGAUUGUUCCGUGACAUCAUUUCUGUGUGAUGCUAUUUGCCAAAAUUAUUUGAGGGCAUGAAAUCGUGAACAAUGUAUGCAUGUUUAGUGGUUCUGGCAAAAAGAUACGAAUUGUUGCCUCUAGCCUAUUUGUAUUGAAUUGUGAUAUAACAGGGAACUACAAUUCUGGCAUCUUCAUCUUGUGUUUUCUUUACGGUAACGGCUUCAUCUUGUCCUGGUGGCUUUCUGGAGAUAGUUGAAAACAAUACUAUCCUCACAUCUUUAUUUGUUCCUGUACACAGUGUCAAGUACCUCGGAAACAUCAAAUUCAAAAAGUAUUUCAUGCAAUCCUCAUUGAGACAACAUGUAAACCAACUUUUUGUCACUAACUAUUACGUAGUCAACAAACAUGAAGGGGGAGGAAGGGAAAGGGAGGGAGAAGGAGGAUGGGAGGGAGAGAGGGAGGGAGUGGAUGUUAACAUCCUAGCGGAGGAUAUAGUUUGAGGGAAGGGAAGGGGGUAGGGCAGCGAUGAGUAAGGGAGAGGAAACGAACACACACAGUUGUUCCUGAUGCGGUUGCCAGUCAUGAUACUCCGUGACAACAGCCUGCUAAUCCAUUUGGACCAUGUAAAAAAUGGGCUACAAGUUACUAAGGCAGUCCUGGCAAAUCAAAUUAAUCCUGCAGACAUCAGACUAAGUAAACAACAGAAAUCAUACUAGGACUCUUAACUUCCUUACCAAGUGUAGAACAUCUAUGCUGACAGCAUCUGGCAGAACACCCUCCAUUGUCACUAGCAAAACAUUGCCUGCAGCAUCCCCGGUAUUCUUGCUGUUGACAAUCUCCUGUCUAUUGGAGUACUGAAGGUACACAUUCUUGCCUCUUACCUGUGCUGGCUCCGCUGAUGAUGCAUAGUAUGAUAUCAUAGCAAUUGCCUGAUUUUGGUCAGCCUGCAAAGACAGAAUGUAAAACUUAACUAGUGUUCGGUAUCUACUAUGGAGCAUACCAAACUACAGUCUAGACUUGUAUAUUUCUUUUUCCUCGCAUAAUCAGUCAAAAUUCCUUAAGACAAACUCCAGACACAAUUUCCACCAAGAUUGCGCUCGUUUAAUUGUAAAGAACAUGACAACAACUAAAGGUUUCUUCCUGUGCAAGAUGUCUUAUACAGCUCUAAAGGCCUUAACAGUUUAUGAAUGGCACAACUCACUGACUAAACACACGAACAGGACGCCCCCUUAUAUCCCCACACUCGAUACGGGAGAGAGGGAAGGGGUGGGUGGGUGGGUGGCUGAGGAACUAAACUGACUCUCAACCCAAAUACUCAUAUAGGCCGAAACUAUAACGAAGAUACAAUCAAGGAUCUGGAACUAAUACUCACGAAUUCGAUGAACGCCUGGUUCCUGUUGGCGCCGACGUUGCACUUGGUGUUGACGACCUUGCCGAAGAGGUUGCCCAGCUCGGUCAGCUCCUCGUCGGUGCACUCCCACGGCAGGUUCCUCACGUGUAUCACCUUCGAUGGAGGCUGAGUGUACCGGAACUGCGGGUUCCCGCCGGAAGCCAUUCCCACCCCCCAAAAGCUCCUCCUACCUCCCGAUCUUAACUCGGCAGGUGAUCGCGAUAAACAGAUCCCCUCAGGAGGAAACUGUCAGUGGAUACGCUCGCGACCAAGGCGCGUCAAAGUAGGAGCCUGAACUUAACGGCGGCGAGCGGCGAGCGGCGGUUCUCGUCGACGAUGUGGAGAGGCGACAGGCCGGACCGGAGGAAGACGGGUUGGAUGGAUUGUCAAAUCGAAAGGCUUCAGAGCCGCCUGCUGCCUAGGGUUUCGUGUGGGCUCCUGUGGGAAGAGAGAGUACGGAGAGAGAGGCAGCUGGGCCAGGGGCCUCGGGCCGCCAGGCAGUCGUCUUUCGGUGGAUUGUGGGCUUGGGCCAUGAAGCUGCAAAUCUCGAGGCAAUUAUCCGACGGCGCACAACACGUCGCCAGAGAAACCCACUUCUAAACCACAUCGUGACUAGUACAAUGCUCGUGCGUUGCUACGGGUAAAAGCAGAAUACCCAUGUGUUGCCACGGAAUAAUAAAAAUAUGGACACAUUGAUCAAAUUAUUCUUCUAAUUUAGAAAUACGGGUUAAGCGGUUACAUCCAGUUUUCAUCAUGCAACGACAAAUAUAAAUUCUCUUCCACUUUUUUUCCUUCUCGGCAAUCUUCCUAUCUUCUUAAGCAGCCAAAUUGCUCGCCACCCGAGAACUUAUAAUUGGAUAUAUAUCAUUCAUUUAUAAAUAGUAUUAGUAUUCUCACUGUAAAGAAAUAUAAGAGUGUUUAGAUCAUAGUAAUCUAAACACUUAUAUUUCUUUAGAGAGGAAGUAUCACUCAACUUCACGCAUCCACAUGUCACUAUUACAAGGUACAUAAAGAUUGACAGUCACUAUUAUAAGGUACAUAAAGAUUGAAAAUUUCAUAAGCCUCUUAUUUCAGUAAUAAUAGCAUAAUCGAUGCAACCUUCAAUAAUAAGCUCAUUGUAUAGAUUGGAGUAGCGGCAGAUGCCAAGAUGGUGGAUUCAGACAUAUUGUUGUAAUACUUUGUAAGGUCCUCGAGAAUAAUCAAUAAAGUGGCCGUAUACAUCUCCCAGAUGCAGAGGCCGGAGGUCAUCCUCCUUUUCUAAAAAAUAAAUAAUAAGCUCAUUGUAUAUAGGAAAUUUCCAUUUAUCUUGAAUCAAGAAUUUGAAUAAUAAGUUGGAUAAUCUAAUGUUUUCGAAGCUGGGGGAUUUGUAUAUAAUUGGUAUCUUUAUUACCAACACAAUCAUCAUAGUUGUGGUCAUGGCAGCAGUCGUCAAGGUCUUCACGGCGCCACCGUUCUCCUUCUGCACAGUGGCGGAGACAAGCCCCAGGCUGCCCGGGCGGCGGCCUGGGUCCUGAGGCUUGGCUCCUUCGUUUACUGUAGUGGAUUUUACACUGUUUAGCACUGUACCAAGUGAUUGGCCCGGGGCUUGCCCGGGUCGUGGCUUGAUCCUAGCCCCGCCACUGCUUCUGCGUCUCCACCAAGUUCAAAGACGGCAUGACAGCGGCGAACAACCUAUCACCGGCAUUUAGGUUUGUCAGCUUUCAUGUUGGCCAACUUCGCCCCGGGUUUCGAGUUCUUCAGUUUCGUGAUUGCAGUUGCCUCGCUCUCCCUUGAAAACACCACAAUGGCCACAGUCGCCCCUGCCCUGCCCGCCGGCUUGGUCACCAUCGCAGGCAUCACCUUUCCGUCCAGCCCAUGCUAACCAACCGUCUCUCCCACGACCCGCUCCACAACUACUCCUCUCCUGCUUCCAUGAAAACGCAAUAUAUUUCAUAUUCACCAAGAAGCAACAGAAGUUAGAUCACUAAUUAAAUCCUAGUAUGAUGAACCAUUUAUGCUGAAAUAGCUACAGAGCAACUCGCGUAGAUUAAAGUUAAAUCUAGCAAUAUAGUACACUUGACACCGGAGUAAACCCCAGAUUAAACAAUGUACUAUGACUUCAGAAGAAUAUACAUUAAUCUGCCAUAUUGCAGGGAAAACAAAUCUGGAGCACAAAGUAGAGAGAAACACCUGUAACACACAUGCACGAUAUAACAUGACCUAAAUGUAAUAAAAUAUAGUUGUAUUUUCUAAUGGAACAAAAUAUGUAUCUGCAGAUGGUACUCAAGAUGCUUCUUUUUUUUGCCUCUCAUUAUUAUUUUUGUUGGAGAAGAAGUUACAUUUGUUACGCACUAAAAGGCACCUGGUAGCAUAUCAUGUCAUCAGAUAAUCUUCUGGACUGUGUUCCUACUUCCUACUGCUUCACUGAUUUCUUGUGGUUGCUAGAAAAAUGAGAUUUGUCAAACAGAAGCUUCCUUCCGCCUGCCACUGACAUGCCACCGACGAUGUGUGAAUAUUACGUGAGCAGCUACAACCUUUUUUUAUGGAUGAGACGAUGAGCAGCUACAAACUUGAUACUGUUAAUGGUAGUCUCAUUCUUCCAAAAAAAAUAGAAAAACAAACUCAUACAUUUCAACACAGCUCCUUCUUCACAUAAACUUCCAGUUUAAAUGAAAAUACUAUUAUUUUCGAUGAAGGGAGCUUUAUUACUUAAAAGGUUUAAGCAUUAUACCCGGCCCCUCUGCAUAAAUGAAAAUACUAAUAGCAACAAAAAAAACUUAAUAAGAAAACUCCGACAAUGUGGACCGAGAUUGACUUGGUAGUAGAUCAAAUCACACGUGUUCAAUCUUUGCUCAAUGAGAACUGAGGAACAACUUUGUAAAAAAAACUACCCUACUCCAUACUGAUCAUUGCAUGACAUCAAUAUUUCUCUUACAGAACUAAACUUAGACAGCCAUGUAAGCUGUAAACAUUGUUCUUGAUUAAACGGACAAAACAUAAAGGAAUUAGAAGUCUCACCAUCAGUAUAUAAUGUUUCCACGCAAUAUUUUUGUCCGAACAACCACAAUCAAUAUCCAUUACAUCCACACUCGCCUCAAGAGGGAGAGUAGACCCGCCUGCACAAUAGAGACUAUAGAACAUUCACAUGAAGUGCUAAAAAAUGUAAUACCAAAAUUUAAUCUAAUGAGGAAGCAGAGCCCGC